UAUAGAUUUUCAAGUGCUUUUGAAGUCGAGAAAACAGUGAAUAAAUCUAAAAUCCUGUGAUAAGAAUUUUUCCACACUUUGCAACAAAUGGAUGGAUGUUACCUGAUACUGCAGUCAAUAUUUUAGAGGGGAAAAUGAGUGUGAUUGCUGCAUGUGAAGUUGGAAGAGGACCAUGAGCCAAGGCGUGCAGGCAGCCUCCAGGAACUGGAAAAGGCUCAGGUUUCACUUCAUCUUCCCCAGAGCCUCUAAGGAGAAUGCAGCUCUGCUAACAGCUGGAUUUUAGCCCAGUGAGACUUCUGACCUCCAGAACUGCAUAAUAAUAAAUUUGCAUUGUUUAAGCCUUUAAGUGUGUGGUUAUUUGUGACAGCAGCAGUAGGAAACUAAUGCAGCAGAACAUAAGUCUGAGGCUCUUGCUGCUUGUCUUUACCACCACUUGGACCAGAGCCUGCUUCAAGAUAAAGCCGAUGUUGGGGAUUGAAUCAUGUCCCCCACAAAUGGCACCUUCAGGUCCCAACCCUUUCCUGUGGCGUGAACCCCUUUGUAAAUAGUGCUUUGAAGAUGUUAUUAGUUAAGGUGUGCCCAAACUGAAUGACGGUGGGCUUUAAUCCAAAAGGACUGAAGUCCUUAUAAGCAAGGGAAAUUGGACACACAGAAAGAAGCCACAGGAAACAGCCAGAAGCUGGAAGUCACCAGAACCUGGAAGAGAAAGAAGACAAAACCAUGUACAUUGCCAAAUGAUGGAAAAAUCUAAGAAACCUCAAAGAUUUCUGGUCAGCCAAAAGACAGCAGCCCUGGGAGGAAGUAAACCCCCCAGCCUUUGAAAGUGUGAGCUAAUAAAUUCCUGUUGUUAAGCUUUGUUUUAGCAGCCCAGAGACUAAAAUAGUAAUAUAAAGAAGAGCCAAGUGAUAGAGACAUAUUAUAUUAUUGGUGACAUUAUUUGAGUACUUGGAUCUAACCCUUCAUGAAAUAGUUAAAUUGGAAUUUUCUGUUGUAGCAAACAAAAACUAUUUUUUGCUUCAGUUACUUUGAUCUGGGAUCUAUCCUGCUUGUAUACAGAUUUAUGUACAAGUUUAUUUUCUUAUCUCACUUUAUUUAUAAUAGCCCCAGUUUGGAAACAGUUUGUAUCUAUCAUGCUCACCUGUAAAUGUUGUUGAUUGAGUAAAUUAAGGCAUAUUUCAAAGAUAUAAAAUUUAUAGCCAUGGAAUUUAUUCUAGAAAACUGUAAAUUUACGUGGGAAAAUGUUCAGCAAAUACCAGUUUUUCACUGGAGGAAAAAAAUGGAAACUAGCAUUCACAGCAAAUUCUAACCACAUGGGAAAACCUUUAGAAAGUUACAAAAAUGGAGGCUUUUUCUAUGAUAAUUUGGAAAGAUUAGAAAUACCUUUCAAACUCCUGCAUUCAUCCUUGCAUUGUGUAAAGCGACAUUUCAAACAUUUAUCAGUACU